rnacentral:rRNA from 1 species
GAUGAACGCUAGCUACAGGCUUAACACAUGCAAGUCGAGGGGCAGCAUGGUCUUAGCUUGCUAAGGCCGAUGGCGACCGGCGCACGGGUGAGUAACACGUAUCCAACCUGCCGUCUACUCUUGGACAGCCUUCUGAAAGGAAGAUUAAUACAAGAUGGCAUCAUGAGUCCACAUGUUCACAUGAUUAAAGGUAUUCCGGUAGACGAUGGGGAUGCGUUCCAUUAGAUAGUAGGCGGGGUAACGGCCCACCUAGUCUUCGAUGGAUAGGGGUUCUGAGAGGAAGGUCCCCCACAUUGGAACUGAGACACGGUCCAAACUCCUACGGGAGGCAGCAGUGAGGAAUAUUGGUCAAUGGGCGAGAGCCUGAACCAGCCAAGUAGCGUGAAGGAUGACUGCCCUAUGGGUUGUAAACUUCUUUUAUAAAGGAAUAAAGUCGGGUAUGGAUACCCGUUUGCAUGUACUUUAUGAAUAAGGAUCGGCUAACUCCGUGCCAGCAGCCGCGGUAAUACGGAGGAUCCGAGCGUUAUCCGGAUUUAUUGGGUUUAAAGGGAGCGUAGAUGGAUGUUUAAGUCAGUUGUGAAAGUUUGCGGCUCAACCGUAAAAUUGCAGUUGAUACUGGAUAUCUUGAGUGCAGUUGAGGCAGGCGGAAUUCGUGGUGUAGCGGUGAAAUGCUUAGAUAUCACGAAGAACUCCGAUUGCGAAGGCAGCCUGCUAAGCUGCGACUGACAUUGAGGCUCGAAAGUGUGGGUAUCAAACAGGAUUAGAUACCCUGGUAGUCCACACGGUAAACGAUGAAUACUCGCUGUUUGCGAUAUACAGCAAGCGGCCAAGCGAAAGCGUUAAGUAUUCCACCUGGGGAGUACGCCGGCAACGGUGAAACUCAAAGGAAUUGACGGGGGCCCGCACAAGCGGAGGAACAUGUGGUUUAAUUCGAUGAUACGCGAGGAACCUUACCCGGGCUUAAAUUGCAGAUGAAUUACGGUGAAAGCCGUAAGCCGCAAGGCAUCUGUGAAGGUGCUGCAUGGUUGUCGUCAGCUCGUGCCGUGAGGUGUCGGCUUAAGUGCCAUAACGAGCGCAACCCUUGUUGUCAGUUACUAACAGGUUCCGCUGAGGACUCUGACAAGACUGCCAUCGUAAGAUGUGAGGAAGGUGGGGAUGACGUCAAAUCAGCACGGCCCUUACGUCCGGGGCUACACACGUGUUACAAUGGGGGGUACAGAGGGCCGCUACCACGCGAGUGGAUGCCAAUCCCAAAAACCUCUCUCAGUUCGGACUGGAGUCUGCAACCCGACUCCACGAAGCUGGAUUCGCUAGUAAUCGCGCAUCAGCCACGGCGCGGUGAAUACGUUCCCGGGCCU